rnacentral:misc_RNA from 1 species
AUUUCCUUCUUCUGUUCAAGGGCCUUCUUUGAGGCCUCCCGGUUCGGGUCUAGAUGUCGGAGCCCCGCAAACAAUACCAGACAACUUAGGGCUGCACUUGCGGCGUAUACGCGUAUAAUACCAGCUCCUGCAAGAACUUGGUCUCCGAUAAGCCCCCCAUUUCUUUGUUAUUUUGAUAGGGUUUUACAGAUUCUAGAAUUCAGAAAGGAAUAUGGAAGUUUUGUAUUCUCUCCGUGAAAUUUGUAGCUAUGCUCUGGUUCAGGCAGAGGACUUCUUGAGGAAGGAAUUUUAUUCUCAAAUAUUGUUUAAGUCGGCAUCUUGGGGACAUGUUCCAAAUUCAUAUGGGCU